rnacentral:lncRNA from 1 species
GUUUUGACUGUCUCCUUAGAUACUGUGUGUCUACUUGGCAUCUAUUAAUCACAGGGCCAAACUAUCAGCCGAAAUAUUUCUCUCUCCUGCCGGUCAGCUUGCCUUAUCUCCUUUCCUGUGCAGACAGGCUCAGCCAAGGCAGAGACCCCACCCUCCUUCUUGUCUAACUUGCGCACACCAGACCGGUAUUGCGCCUGUCCUGAGUCAGCCCAGGCCAGGUACCAGGCACCGGGAGAGCCCAAAGGCCACCAGGCUUGUUUAGCCUAGCCAAUCUGACACUUCACUCUGCUUUGCCUUGCCUUCCGGAGGAAACUCCACUAUAGGCUCCGGCUUGUUCUUCGCUCCUGUCUUCUGCCUCCUGACCACCCUGGUGUUCCCCAUGUGGCCUUGGUGGCAGCAGGUGCCCCUUCUCUCAGGACAUCUAAGUAAUAAAUUCUUCUUUCGAUGGCAGUGACCUCUCCAUGGUGUCACUCAGUCGCCUCCAUAAAUUAAAAUCUCCCGGAUACAAGUGAGACAAUAAGGGAGAAGGAGAAGGGAGAAGACACGGACCAGGGAAAUGGCCACGUGAAGACGGAGGCAGAGACUGGAGUGAUACGAGUGCAGGAGUGUCUGGAGCCAGCAGAAGCUGGAAGAGGUGAGGAAGGACCCUCCCCCCAGCCCAGAGCCUUCAGGGGGAGCGUGGCCUGCAGACGCCUUGAUUUCGGACUUCUGGCCUCGGAAAUCUGUGGGGAUUUGUUAUGGCGGCUCCAGGAAGCUAACAGAGCAUCUACCAGUUGACGACCACUUGUUGAGUCUUUAUUCUUAACACACACUCAGACGCUGUACUACUUGACCCUCCCGACAACGCCUUGUGGUCAGUACUGUCGUCCCCAUUUUACAGAUGAGGGAAGUGCGCCUCAGCCAGGAGAAGAGCUGGGGGUGAGCCAGGCCGUGCCGCCCAAGCCCCUAAGCCCAUAAGCCACUGCGCGAUCGUGUGACCCGAUGGUGCGGAACCGGUACCCUUUUAGAGGAGGGGAGGAUGUUGCUUCCGCAAACCUGUGCAGUCACAUUUGGGCACACCAGUCCCCCCUUCACCCCAAGCCCCUGAUGCCGUCACCUGCUUUCUAUACCUGCUGUGAUGGGCACCGUUCACCAUGGUCCCUGCUCUAGCCGCUGCCACCUCGGGGUGGCCCCUGGACCUGGUCACUCCCUGGCCCCCCACGCCUGCUCCUGGGAGUGUGGCCUGGAGCCUUCGGGACUCUGUGGCCCUGCCUGCAGCCGCACCCCAUGGCCUUGUCCACCUUGAGGCGGGUGGUGCACAUGGGCCCUGCUCUCCAGUGAGACCACCUUGGGGAGACCGGGGAAGGCCCUUGGCGGCCUGAGUCUGUGGCUGGCUGCUCUUCGGACCCUCAGCCCCAACUCUCGGCUCCCAGGGCAGCCUUUCUGGAUAUCAGCAUCCUAGAGGGGGCUCCAGAUUCUGUAUCUUCCCAGAACUCCCACUUCCUGUAUGUUCAACACACUUAAGGAGGUGGAGCACCCUGGGCUCCAUCAGCAGAUGGUACGGGAAUUCUGCUUCGAACAGACACUGGGUUUGUUUGGAAGAAAUAGGUUAAUAAGCCCCAUGGGGUGCGGGCCGAGACCCCAAAGGCAUUCUCAAGUAACAAAGGAUGAUGCUACCCUGCUUUCUAAGGAAGUAGAUGCUGUUAACCUGAGGGCCUUCGCCUGGAAAGAGCUGGGUUUGGGCCAGGAGCCUGGUUGUUCACGGGGGAGACGGGGUGAGGAUUUUGAAGUUACUGGGAAUCGAUUGCCGGAGUUAGAGGCGAGGAGCGAGGCCAGCUAUGCUGCGAGGUGGGGAAAGCUCAGGCUCCCUGCGGUGGAGCGGGUGAGGCUCAGGGAGAACAGAAAUGUCUGCAGGGAAUUUUUCAGUUGUUUGCGCUCAGGUCUCCGAGGUAAACCCCUCUCCUUCAUCGCCAAACAUCAAAAAUCACACCUUGUUUGCUAACGCUUCUGUGAGUGCUGGCGCUGGGGACUGUGGCCCUGGGGGAGUGUUUUGCUUGGAGCAGACCACCCUUGGGGACACAGAGAGCAGGGACAGUGGAGGACGGGCUUGCAAAAUGGCGCUGGGACAAUUGGUGACGUAUUUGGAAAAACAUUGGAUUAGUUUCUCACUUUCACUUCCAGAUAUUAAAGAGCUUGAUGCAAAGAAAGAAAAUGAGAGAGAGAGAUCAAAAGCAGACUAAAAGGAAGUAUUUGAUUUGGGGAAGAAGUAUUUUCGGAAUGUAAAAGCUGGUAAAGAAAUUCCGAAGGGGAAAAUUAGACACAGGUCAAAACCACUCUAAAAAAUGUAAAAGCAAACCACAAACUGGGAAAAAAUAUUUGCUACAAAUACCACAAAGAGUUAAUAUCUAUCCUAUAUAAAGGUCCCAAACAGACUGGUAAGACGCAAUUAGAUACCCAAUAACACAAUAUACAACGGAUGAGACAGACUGUCACUGCACAAUAUGGGGGUUCUCUUGCCUGAUGGGCAUUUAAAAAGCCAGUUAAUUAUGGCAUCGGCGUUUGGAAAAGAAAUCAGCUUUAUUCUGCGAGACUGAUCUGCAGGGAGACAGGUGGUGUGUGCCCUCAGAUCUGUCUCCCCAAUUCCACAUUUGGGGCAAAAUUUAAGAGGCUAGGGAGAAUAGGCUGGCACAUGGAAACGCUGGUGGGACAGGCUUUGCUUGGUGGGCUUCAGACAUUUAUGGUGAGGUUCUGAACACUUAUGGUGAGGUUCUAAACACUUAUGAUGAGGUUCUAAACAUUUUUGAUGAGGUUCUAAGCAUUUUUGAUGAGGUUCUAAGCAUUUUUGAUGAGGUUCUAAGCAUUUUUGAUGAAGAGGGGAAGGAAUUUUAACAUCAGAUCUUCCUGAAUGAUGGCCCUCUCACUUCUGAUAAGAGUCUGACUUUAAGGUCUGUUUGUGUCCUCGUCUUUGGGUUCCAUGGGGAGGAGAAUCUUUGGUCACUUCAGGCCAAGAUUUCUUCUUCUGUGCACGCUCUGGCUACAUGACUUUGCAAGUUUUCUGAAAGACAAUUCUUAAUCACUCUGUUGAUAAGAGAUGGGGUCUUUCAAACUGGCUCUUAAGGGGUCUGCAGUCACAAGACCAUGCACCAAAGAAAUCUGGAUAACUAAUAAACACAGGGAAAUGUUCAAAUAUAUUAGUAGUCCAAGAAAUAUAUAUAAAAAAGUAUCUUUGGGUGGUGGAAUUAUAAAUGACAAUAAAAUUGUAACUGCAUUUUGUAAUUUUUCUACAGUUACACUUGCAUCAAGAGAAAAUCCUAAAAGUGUUCAAAGGAUACAAUUAUGAGAUGCCAUUGAAUAGCAAAUGAGUAGUCAGCAUCAGAGAUUUCUAGUUGUGGUGGAUCGUGGGCAAGUUUUUUUCUUUCAAGCUUUUGUGCAUUUUAAGACUUAUAUUGUUCAUUUGCCCUUUCAACAAUGAAGAAAUAUUACUUUAAGUAUUAGAAUGAAUUUGCAAGUUAAAAUAAAUUCCUUCUUCCUAACCCCUCAGAAGUCUGGGCCCCGUAUGCAAAUAGGAUUCCUGGGGCCACCGAAACACCCACUCCAGGGUGGGAGGGCAGCUGAACUGAGAGACCACCCCUCCCACCUCCAUCGCCAAACAAAGGGGUCCUUCAGCCCUCCCCAUAGCACACACACCCCCUCUCAGGGUGGUCCCCACCCUUAGGACGCUCUUUCUAGUCCCACCCCCAUCUCCAGGGUCCACCCUGACCUCCCCACACUCUCAAGUUUGGCCUGCCAGCUGCUGUGAGAGGGCUCAGGGCCAGUGUGGCACCACCUGGGGGCCCAUGGGGGUGAGCUGGGCCACCCCAGGCCCCUCAGAGGCCUGGCUGGUGGCUGUGCAGUGGCCUGAGAGGGCCUUGACGGGGCUCUGGUGCAGACAAGCCUUGAGUGGUUGGAAGUCAAACCACGAUCCCUCUGCCCGAAUGUCCCCCUCUCCACCCGGGUGUCUGUUAUGGGCUGAAUUGUAUCCCCUCAAAAUUCGUAUGUUGAACUCCUAACCCCCAGUGCCUCAAAAUGGGACUGUAUUUGGAGACAGAGUCUUUGAAGUGGUAAUUAUGGUAAAUGCAGUCAUUAGGGUGGGCCCUAAUCCCAUAUGACAGUAUCUCCUUUUAAGAAGAGGAAAGUUUGGAGGUCGGCCCUGUGACAUCCUGGUUGAGGCUGGCAGGCCCUGCUUUGGUGGCCCAGAUCUGCGGGUUCAGAUCCUGGGUGCAGACCUACACUGCACUCUUCAAGCCACGCUGUGACGACAACCCACAUCCAACAUAGAGGAAGACUGGCACAGAUGUUAACUCAGGGAUGACCUUCCCCAAGCAAAAAGACAAAGAAGAAGAUUGGUAACAGAUAUUAGUUCAGAGUGAAACUUCCUCAUCAAAAAAAAAACCAAAAAAAACUGAAAAAGAGGAAAUUUGAACACAGACACGCAUACUGGGAGAGGCGAUGUGAACAUGAAGACGGCCGUCUAUAACCAAGGAGAGAGGAGGGAACAGCCCUUCCUUCACGGCCCCGGAAGGAACCAAGCCUGCUGGCACCUUCAUUUCUGACUUGGAGCCUCCAGAGCUGAGAGAAGACACUGUUCUGUUGUUUAGGCCUCCUAGUCUGUGGUACUUUGUCAUGGCAGUCCCCACAGAUGGCUACAGUGUUCUUGAACACCAGACUAGGCCCUCAGAUAGAAUCCCAAAGAGGUUAAAGACAGGUUUUGGGGCUGACUUGGUGGUGUAGUGGUUAAGUUAGUGCAUUCUGCUCUGGUGGCCCAGGGUUUGUGGGUUUGGAUCCCAGAGGCAGACCUAUGCACCACUUAUCAAGCCAUGCUGUGGCGGUGUCCCACAUACAAAAUAGAGGAAGAGUGGCACAGAUGUUGGCUCAGGUACUAUCUUCCUCAAGCAAAAAGAGGAAGAUUGGCAACAGAUGUUAGCUCAGGGCCAAUCUUCCUCACCAAAAAAACAAAAGAGAGAGAGAGAGAGAUAAGUGUCAGCUUACAAAAAAUGCAUCAUCCAGUUUGAGAGACAAGUCACCAACCUGUUGUCACAAUACAGCCCAGUGGGCCAAAUGCACAUUUUCAAAGGAAUGCAGUUUCCCAAGCUAUAGGAUGUUGGCAAAACUUACAGACAGGGCCAGCUAGAGGCCAAAUCAUGGGGUGUGGUAGGAGUAGGGGUCACAGGGCUUUGCCUUCAGACUCUCCAGCUCCCUUCCAGCCCCAGCAAUCUGCUAGUCAACUACAGGGGAGGGUGCAGAGCCUUAGCGCCACCUCCUGCUCACAGCUGCACUCUGUGUGGAGCCAGCUUCACUCCAUCCCUGGCACAUCCUGCAGGCCGUGCCACCACAUCUGGUUCCUGUGGAUGGUUGACCCAUUUGGAUAGUCUGUGCCUGCUGCCCCUUCUCUGCUCCUGCCAGGAGCUUCUGAACACAAAGGGGGUUGCGAGAGGGGUUCUGCCAUCUCAGAGUGGGUUUCCCUGGAGUUACUGCUCUAAGGGAGCCUCACUCACUGAGCCUGGGCUCUAAACUUGCAGUUUUUAGCCUCUUUAAGUCAGGAAGACAUGAUUUGGAGAAGCAAUGGGCCCCUCCCCAGACAAAUACACAUGGACAGACUUCUUGAGCCCCGCCUCUAAGAUUUGAGCUAUCCCUGGUUAUUUGCAUUCCAGAGACCUGCAGAUCCCUGAAACUCACUUGACAUGUGACCUGUAGACAAAGAGAGCUGUGGACUGGAGCAGGGCUGCAAUCCAGGUGGAAGACACAAAGGCAGCAAGAGGUGGCCCUGUGGGGCAGCAACAGGAAUGCCUGGCUGAUCCUGGAAGGCUGUCUCCAGAGGCCAGAGGCCUCACUUCCUCCUGGAGGCCGAGGGAGCACUGGAGGGUUCUGGGCAAGAAAGAGGCAUGGAGGAAGCGGGGCUUUGGGAAGGUUUGGGGAGGAAGUGUCUAGAAGCAUGGCCCUAUAAGAGCCUGCCUGCCACAUUGCCACUAUCGAUGAGCAUCACUUUUUGCAAAUGUUCCCCAGAAAGACAGGCCCUGUGUUCCAGGAGAAAGCAAGAAGAGCAGGGUCAGUAAGUCCACUCAGGUUCUGAGUGAACAGAACAAUAAGUCCUGACCUGCCCCAAAGAGGAAUGUGUUCAUGGGGGCUGGUCCGCAAGGAGUUGAGGAAAUGAGGAUUUGGGGAGCCAGCAUUGUCAAGGGGAGCGAGUGCUCUCCCCAGCGUGUCCCCUGCAGGGGAUGGACCCUCAGCUUGCAGACACCUAGAGGGGUCCCACUCACCCCUGCUCUGUAUCCACACUCAGCCACCACCUUGGUUGUCCCUUGGCUCCUGUAGUGGAUUGCCUUGUGGCCCCCAAAAGGCAUGUCCACCUGCCACCUCAGAAUGUGACCUUAUUUGGAAUAAGGGUCUUUGCAGAUGUAAUUAAGUUAAGGAUCUCCAGAUGAGGUCAUCCUGGAUUUAGGGUGGGCCCUCAAUCCAAUGACUGGGGUCCUUAUAAGGGAAAGGGGAAGAUGGUGAAAGUGAGACGCAGAGGGGAAGGCCAUGUGAAGACGGAGGCAGAGAUGGGAGCGAGUGAGGCAGCUACAAGCCAAGGAGAACCAAGGGCCACCCCGGAAGCUAGGAGAGAGGCGUGAACGGAUUCUCUCUCAGAGCUCCAGAAGGAACCAAUCCUGCCGAUGCCUUGAUUUCUGACUUCUGGUCUCGACUGUGAGGGAACAAGGCCAUCAAGUUUGUGGUCAUUUGUUACCACAGCCCUAGAAACUAAUACAGCUUCCUAUGGUGAUCAUAGGUGUUGGAAAAGGACCUUAGGUUCAAAUCAAGUUGGGAAACUUUGUCAAACUAUAGGUUCCUUUGCGGAGGAACUUCUCAGAGCCUUUAACAGGCCACAGAGCUUUAUGAAUUUCCAAGGGGGAGGAUCAGUAUUGAACAUGCCUUUCCCAAACAUUUAACCAAGGGACCCUCGUGUGUUACUCAGCUUGGGCUGCCGUGAGAGAAUACCACGGACCAAGUGGCUUCAACAAGAGACAUUUAUUAUUUUCUACAGUUCUGGAGGCUGCAAGUCCCUGAUCAGGGUGUCGGCAGGGUUGGUGUCUGGUGAGGCCUCUCUUCCUGGCUUGCAGACGGCCACCUUCUCUCUCUGUCCUCACACGGCCUCUUUUCUGUGUAUGCACAGAGAGAGAGAGAGAGAGGGAGAGCGAGCGAGCCUUCUGGUGCCUCUUCCUCUUUGCAUAUAGACACCAGUCCUGUUGGGUUAGGGCCCUAUGCUUAUGACCUCAUUUAACCUUAAUUAUCUCUUGAAAGGCCCUAUCUCUAAAUACAGUCGUAUUGGGGGUUAGAGCUCAACAUAAGAAUUUUGGGGUCACACAAUUCAAUCUGUAAGACCUUGCUUCCUGGGACUGAUGUUCCCCCAGACACACCUGGGGAAAUGGACAUUUAAUUGCCUUGAACUUGACCCCAGGGGUAUGGGGUUGGUGGGGGUACUGUUAGUUGGCAGGUGGCUGUCAUCCAUCCUUGCCUGUAGGAGGAUGUCCUUGGUAGUGGCAGGAAAAGAGAGAGAGCAUGUGGUAGAUUUUUUUUUUAAGGUCACAAUAUUUUGCGGCUCCUCCUGUCAAAAGAGUCUUUUUUCUCCACUUCCUGAAUCAGGGCUUGGCCACAUGACUUCCUUUAGUCAAAGGGACUGUAAGAAACAUGACACAAACAGAGCCUUAAAAAGUGUUCAUGGGGGGGCUGGCCCCGUGGCCGAGUGGUUAAGUUCGCGCGCUCCGCUGCAGGCGGCCCAGUGUUUCGUUAGUUCGAAUCCUGGGCGCGGACAUGGCACUGCUCAUCAGACCACGCUGAGGCAGCGUCCCACAUGCCACAACUAGAAGAACCCACAACGAAGAAUACACAACUAUGUACCGGGGGGCUUUGGGGAGAAAAAGGAAAAAAUAAAAUCUUUAAAAAAAAAAAAAAAAAAGUGCUCAUGGGGGCCGGCCCAGUGGCGCAGCAGUUAAGUCCGCACGUUCUGCUUCAGCGGCCCGGGGUUUGCCCUUUUGGAUCCCAGGUGCGGACAUGGCACUGCUUGGCAAGCCAUGCUGUGGUAGGCGUCCCACAUAUAAAAAAAAAGUAGAGGAAGAUGGGCACGGAUGUUAGCUCAGGGCCAGUCUUCCUCAGCAAAAAGAGGAGGAUUGGCAGCAGUUGCUCAGGGCUAAUCUUGCUAAAAAAAAAAAAAGCGUUCAUGCAUUGGAGCUUGGCUCCCCUUGUUCCUUUUGGAGCCCAGCUGCCAAGUGAAGAAGGCUGGCCUGCUUGAUAAUGAGAUUAACGUGGCCCAAUUGUCCCCAUCACCCUAGACACGUGAGUGGGGCCAUCUGGGACCUGGACCAGCCAGCGUCCAGCUCACCCACCUGCUGACUCCUUCCAUAGAGUCAACUCAGGUGACACCAGCGGAAGAACCACCCAGCAGAGCCCAGCCCAAAUAAUAUCAAUAGCAAUAAUAAUAAUAGUGGCUUUAAACUACUCAGUUUGGAGGUGGUUUGUUAUGUAGUAGUUAAGGCAUCUUAGAAGAGACCUAUGACCAUCACUGCUUUAUAUGGAAGAGUCAUCUAUGGUGCUCCUGCCUGUACCAAGUUCCUCUUCUCAGGUCUAUGGAGAGACGGUCUAUGGUGCUCCUGCCUGUACCAAGUUCCUCUUCUCAGGUCUAUGGAGAGACGGUCUAUGGUGCUCCUGCCUGUACCAGGUUACUCUUCUCAGGUCUAUGGAGAGACGGUCUAUGGUGCUCCUGUCUGUACCAGGUUACUCUUCUCAGGUCUAUGGAGAGACGGUCUAUGCCACCAGUGUUUUUGUUGUUGUUGUUAAAGAUUGGCAUCUGAGCUAACAUCUGUUGCCAGUCUUCUUUUUUUUUUUCUUUCUUCUUCUUCUCCGCAAAGCCCCCAAGUAUAUAGUUGUAUAUUCUAGUUGUAGGUCCUUCUGGUUGUGCUAGACGGGGUGCCACCUCAGCAUGGCUUGAUGAGCAGUGCUGUGUCCACGCCCAAGAUCUGAACUGGUGCAACCCUGGGCCACCAAAGCAAAGUACACGAACUUAACCACUCGGCCACGGGGCUGGCCCCGCCACCAGUCUUGCUAUGAAAGUUUUCUGGCCUCUUAAAGACAGUAGCAUGAUGAUAUCAGGGGAAAACUCUUAAACUGAUACCCCAGAAAAUCAGGAUGUGAGCUUUAUUAGGUCAGUCCCUGUAAUAAGCCAUGGGCUGGCUACAGAGAAAUUGAAAACAUCUUUUAAAUGACAGAAUGUGUUAAACAUGUAAAAACCGAUCUAUCUUGAAUAUUCCUGAAUAUCCCACUAGAAGGAGCUGGUGAAACACUUAGGUUUUGCUUGCAAAGCAAUUUCCUUUUGAGAAAUAGCACCAUCUUCUGAAAAUCCAGCAGAAGUGACUGUCUUGGUGGUAGGGACCCACAGCAGUCCAGGAAUGGCCGGAGAGCAGUGGGUAUGGGGACGGCUCCCAGGGGUCCUCCCCACCUGCCCUGGCUCUCUGCUGCCCCCCAGUGCUGGUUCAGUGGCAUCGCAGGAGGAUGCCACCCUUGCUUGACUCAGGCUCCUGGCUCUGCAGGCGGGUGAUCCACCUCAGGGUCUGGGUUUGAGCCCCAGACCCCAUGGGACAUGGUGAGGAGGUUCGUGUUCCAUACCUCACUCCCACCCCAACCCCGAAAGCUACACAUUCACCCUCAGUCCACAAGGUGUCCAGUGACAGGAGGACAUGGAUUAUUAGCAACCACUGCCUCUUCUGGGGCAAUUUUAUUUUGGGGUCCCACUCACGUCAUGUUAGAUACACUGAAGUUCACCUAAAU